rfam:Parcubacteria bacterium GW2011_GWA2_47_8 TY09_C0042, whole genome shotgun sequence.
GCGCGUGUAGCUCAGCUGGUUAGAGCGCGGACCUUAUAAGUCCGUGGCCGAUGGUUCGAGUCCAUCCACGCGCA